rnacentral:rRNA from 1 species
GACGAACCGUGCGAACGUUGUUCGGAUUCACUGGGCUUAAAGGGCGCGUAGGCGGGCGGUCAAGUCACGGGUGAAAUCUUUCAGCUCAACUGGAAAAGUGCCUUUGAUACUGAUCGUCUUGAGGGAGGUAGGGGCAUGUGGAACUUCCGGUGGAGCGGUGAAAUGCGUAGAUAUCGUCUGGAACGCCGAAGGUGAAAACAGCUCGCUGGGGCUGCGCUGACGCUGAGACACGAAAGCCAGGGGAGCGAACGGG